CGGCGGCCGUAACUAUAACGGUCCUAAGGUAGCGAAAUUCCUUGUCGGGUAAGUUCAGACCCGCACGAAAGGUGUAACGAUUUGGGCACUGUCUCAACGAGGGACCCGGUGAAAUUGAAGUACCUGUGAAGAUGCAGGUUACCCGCGACUGGACAGAAAGACCCCAUGGAGCUUUACUGUAACCUGAGAUUGGAUUCCGGUAAGAGAUGUACAGGAUAGUUGGGAGGCUGAGAAACGGAUACGCCAGUAUCCGCAGAGCCGCUGGUGGGAUACCAACCUUGUUUUAUUGGGAUUCUAACGAGAGACGUAACGAGUCUUUGGACAGUCUCAGGCGGGCAGUUUGACUGGGGCGGUCGCCUCCGAAAGAGCAACGGAGGCGCCCAAAGGUUCCCUCAGCGCGGACGGAAACCGCGCGAAGAGUGUAAAGGCAGAAGGGAGCUUGACUGCGAGACGGACAGGUCGAGCAGGGACGAAAGUCGGGCUUAGUGAUCCGGUGGUAGAGAGUGGAAUUGCCAUCGCUCAACGGAUAAAAGCUACCCUGGGGAUAACAGGCUUAUCUCUCCCAAGAGUCCAUAUCGACGGGGAGGUUUGGCACCUCGAUGUCGGCUCAUCACAUCCUGGGGCUGAAGUAGGUCCCAAGGGUUGGGCUGUUCGCCCAUUAAAGUGGUACGCGAGCUGGGUUCAGAACGUCGUGAGACAGUUCGGUCCCUAUCCAUCGCGGGCGGAAGAAACUUGAAAGGGGCUGCUCCUAGUACGAGAGGACCGGAGUGGACGGACCAAUGGUGUACCAGUCAUGGCGCCAGCCGUGCAGCUGGGUAGCUACGUCCGGGACGGAUAAACGCUGAAAGCAUCUAAGCGUGAAACCAGCCUAAAGAUGAGGUUUCUCAUUGUGAAAGCAAGUAAGGUCCCAUGAAGACGACAUGGUAGAUAGGCCGGGAGUGGAAGUGCAGUGAUGCACGGAGCGGACCGGUACUAAUAGACCGAGGGCUUGACUUC
rnacentral:rRNA from 1 species